rnacentral:tRNA from 1 species
CAAAAUAAAGCUUUUUAAAAGAUAAGCGUUUCAUUUACACUGGAAAGAGUUUCGUGCAAAUCGAAUUAUUUUGA